UGGACCAAAUUGUCUCAAUCAAUUCCCACCUAUUUUUACAUUAUUACUUCACAAUAUAAGUUCAAGUAAACCCGUCCCCUUGCACUCAUAAAUAUUCCUAUCUUCUCACAAUCCCAUCUCACACUAUUAUAACCUAAAGACACUACUCAUCCGUACAACAACAAAAUUUCCACUUUUAAUCAAUCUCAUCCUCUUGUUCCCUUUUCUCCAUCUUUUCCAAAUCUCAUCAAACAUCUAUUAGCUUCUCUUCCUUAACUUUACCUACAUGGAAGAUUUCAUCCUUUCACCUUCUUCAUACUCAUCUAUGAUUUCACUCCCCCAUGAAAACCCUUCACAACAAACACAAACCCUUCAAAAAAA
rnacentral:lncRNA from 1 species